GUGACCUGUGAGCUGGACUCAGUCAAUCUGAGGUUCCUCACCCUUUCCCCUGUCCUUGGAACAUGCAUUCUGCCUGCCUUCUCCGAACUUGAAGCUGCCUCAAGGAUGCAGCCUUGAGAUAGUAAUGCAGUCUUAUUGAGACCAUCUGGAUGAUAUCUAUGACUGGACCCAGGGGCCAGUUUCAGAUUUCACCCAGGAAGCUCCCAAGGUUUCAAACCAGCAGCCAGAGGAGGCUGGAUUGAUGACAUCUGCUUAAAGUUCUUUGAGUCCUUAAUGACAUUCAGUCUGAAAAGGGGAAAGUUGAAGGCAAUUUCAAGAUUCUACCCUCAAAAGGAAGAUCUUCAUGGCUUUACAUGCUGAAGAAAACCAGCUAAAGAUAUUAUCAGAAAAGGAAGAAGUGGGUAGAAGAAUUUAAAACAAAAACCAGAAACCAAACCAAUAACUGGAAGCAGAUUUUCGGUCAAUAUCCCGAUACUACUACCACUACUGCCACCCCACCACCAAUAACAAGAAGGACAACAACAGUCAAGCUUCACUUUUAUCAUGCCAGAAAGGUUCCCAAUGCUUUAUAAUAAAUUAUGUACAAAUGUAGUGGUUUCUCCAUAUAUGUAGA
rnacentral:lncRNA from 1 species